UCCGGCUUGUCACCGGCAGUUCCUCCAGAGUGCCCGGCCCAACCCGAUGGCAACUGGAGACAGGGGUUGCGCUCGUUGCGGGACAUAACCCAACACCUCACGGCACGAGCUGACGACAGCCAUGCAGCACCUCUACUCGCUCCCUUGCGGGUCGUCCCCCUUUCAGGGUUCUACCACGAGCAGUUCAAGCCCAGGUAAGGUUCUUCGCGUUGCAUCGAAUUAAACCACAUGCUCCACCGCUUGUGCGGGCCCCCGUCAAUUCCUUUGAGUUUCACCCUUGCGAGCGUACUCCCCAGGUGGAAUACUUAUCAGGUUACCUUCGGCACUGACCAAAAAAGGCCAACACCAAGUAUUCAUCGUUUAGGGCGUGGACUAC
rnacentral:misc_RNA from 1 species